UUUUCUCCUUGACUAAAAAUUUACGCUCUGGCAACACCAAAAUGUUUGUAUACCACCCAUCCCCCACCCUGCUGACAUCACAAUGCUUGUUUCUCUUGCUUUGUUUCUUUGCUUAUGUUGUUCUCACUGCCUGAAAUGUUCCCUUCCACUCCAUCACCAAUACCACAAUUCCCCCAUCACCAGCAUCUCUUUCUCUCUGUUGUUACUCACACUUUAGCCCUUACUCCCAGCCAGUCAUUAAACUUCACAUUCAGUAAGAGCUCACAUGUGUCAAGCCUCCUGAUGCAGCUGCUGCUCCAGUACUUCUACAAGCCGCUCUCACACCAGUUUAUGCCACAGGGGGCCUCCCAGCAGACUUUUAUUACUGAGGCCUGCUCAGUGAGUAGAUGGCCUUCAUGACUGGGACUCCAGUAAGUUGGCUCACAGGAGACUCAUCUAAAACACAAGGACUCACAUAAACUUAAAGGGUAGAAAAAUAUAUUCUACGCAAAUGUACACCAAAAGCAAGCAAAAGUAGCUAUUAUUAUAUCAUAUGAAACAAACUUUAAAGCAACAGCUGUUAAAAAAGACAAAGAGGGACAUUAUACAAUGAUAAAAGGACUAGUCCGACAGGAAAAUAUCGCAAUUCUACAUAUAUAUGCACCUAACACUGGAGCUCCCAAAUUUAUAAAACAAUUACUACUCGACCUAAGAAAUGAGAUAGAUGGCAACACAAUAAUAGUGGGAGACUUUAAUAGACCACUGACAGCACUAGACAGGUCAUCAAGACAGAAAGUCAACAAAGAAACAAUGGAUUUAAAUUAUACCUUUGAACAAAUGGAUUUAACAGAUAUUUACAGAACAUUCUACCCAACAAUUACAGAAUAUACAUUUUAUUGAUCAACACAUAGAACAUUCUCCAAGAAAAACCAUCUGAUAGGCUACCAAACAAGCCUCAGUACAUUUAAGAAAAUUGAAAUUAUAUCAAGUAUUCUCUCAGACCACAGUGGAAUAAAAUUGGAAAUCAACUCCAAAAGGAACUCUCAAAACCAUGGAAAUACAUGGAACUUAAAUAACCUGCUCCUGAAUGAUCAUUGGGUCAACAAUGAAAUCAAGAUGGAAAUUAAAACAUUCUUUGAACUGAAUAAUAAUAGCUACACAACAUAUCAAAAUCUCUGGGAUAAAGCAAAACCAGUGCUAAGAUGAAAGUUCAUAGCAUUAAAUGCCUACAUCAAAAAGUCUGAAAGAGCACAAAUAGACAAUCUAAGGUCACACCUCAUGGAACUAGAGAAACAAGAACAAUCCAAACCCAAACCCAGCAGAAUAAAAGAAAUAACAAAGAUCAGAGCAGAACCAAAUGAACUGAAACAACAACAAUGAAAACAAUACAAAAGAUACAUGAAGGAAAAAUCUGGUUCUUUGAAAAGAUAAAUUGAUAGACUAUUAGUGAGAUUAACAAAGAAGAGAGACAACCCAAAUAAUCUCAAUUAGAAAUGAAACAAGAGAUAUUACAAGUGAUGCCACAGAAACACAAAAGAUUUUUCGAGGCUGCUAUGAACACCUUUAUGUGCAUAAAUUAGAAAACCUAGAGGAGAUGGAUAAACUCCUGGAAAUAUACAACCCUCCUAGAUUAAACCAGGAAGAUAUAGAAUCUCUGAACAGACCAAUAACAAGCAGCGAGAUUGAAAUGGUAAUUAAAAAAUUGCCAACAAAAAAAAGUCAAGGACCAGAUGGAUUCACAGCAGA